AUUGAACGCUGGCGGCAUGCCCUACACAUGCAAGUCGAACGGUAACGGGCCUUCGGGUGCCGACGAGUGGCGAACGGGUGAGUAAUGUAUCGGAACGUACCUUUCAGUGGGGGAUAACGUAGCGAAAGUUACGCUAAUACCGCAUAUUCUGUGAGCAGGAAAGCAGGGGAUCGCAAGACCUUGCGCUGAUUGAGCGGCCGAUAUCAGAUUAGCUAGUUGGUGAGGUAAAGGCUCACCAAGGCGACGAUCUGUAGCGGGUCUGAGAGGAUGAUCCGCCACAAUGGAACUGAGACACGGGCCAGACUCCUACGGGAGGCAGCAGUGGGGAAUUUUGGACAAUGGGGGCAACCCUGAUCCAGCCAUGCCGCGUGAGUGAAGAAGGCCUUCGGGUUGUAAAGCUCUUUCGGCCGGGAAGAAAUCGUAUCAGCUAAUACCUGGUGCGGAUGACGGUGCCGGCAUAAGAAGCACCGGCUAACUACGUGCCAGCAGCCGCGGUAAGAC
rnacentral:rRNA from 1 species